GCUGGGUGUGGUGGUGCGCACCUGUAAUCCCAGCUACUCAGGAGGCUGAGGCAGGAGAAUUGCUUGAACCCGGGUGUCGGAGGUUGCAGUGAGCCGAGAUUGUGCCACUGCACUCCAGCCUGGGUGACAGAGCAAGACUCCAUCUCAA
rnacentral:SRP_RNA from 1 species